AGACCUUAGUUUCUCUUCAGAUUGAGUAAAUCUUUUGCCUUUUACUAAAGAUUUCUGUGGAUAGGAACAACCAAGAGUUUUUGCCUAAUUUUUCAACGCCUUGUUUCUACAUAUGUG
rnacentral:snRNA from 1 species